rnacentral:rRNA from 1 species
CAUGGCUCAGAUUGAACGCUGGCGGCAUGCUUUACACAUGCAAGUCGGACGGCAGCGGGGUAGUGCUUGCACUACUGCCGGCGAGUGGCGAACGGGUGAGUAAUAUAUUGGAACGUACCGAGUAAUGGGGGAUAACCAAUCGAAAGAUUGGCUAAUACCGCAUACGCUCUGAGGAGGAAAGCAGGGGACCUUCGGGCCUUGCGUUAUUCGAGCGGCCAAUAUCUGAUUAGCUAGUUGGUGGGGUAAAGGCCUACCAAGGCGACGAUCAGUAGCGGGUCUGAGAGGAUGAUCCGCCACACUGGGACUGAGACACGGCCCAGACUCCUACGG